rnacentral:rRNA from 1 species
AGAAAGUAAGCAAGGGCAGACGGUGGAUGCCUUGGCUCUCGGAGGCGACGAAGGACGUGAUAAGCUGCGAAAAGCUCGGGGGAGGCGCAAAUAGCCGUUGAUCCCGGGAUAUCCGAAUGGGGCAACCCGGCAGGCUGAAGGCCUGUCAUCCCGUAAGGGAGGCGAACGUGGGGAACUGAAACAUCUAAGUACCCAUAGGAGGAGAAAAUAAACAAUGAUUCCGUAAGUAGUGGCGAGCGAACACGGAAGAGCCCAAACCCAUGUCGUCUAGGCGACACGGGGGUUGUAGGACCACGACGUGGCAAGAUAGAGUCAAGUGGAACGCCUUGGAAAAGGCGACCGUAGAGGGUGAUAGUCCCGUACACGACUGACGAUUGAAGCCUAGUGGUAUCCUGAGUAGCGCGGGGCACGAGAAAUCUUGCGUGAAACAGCGGGGCCCAUCCCGUAAGGCUAAAUACUCCCGAGAGACCGAUAGCGAACCAGUACCGUGAGGGAAAGGUGAAAAGAACCCCGAGCAGGGGAGUGAAAUAGACCCUGAACCCGUCUGCCUACAAGCGGUCGGAGCGUUGUUAUGACGUGACGGCGUGCCUUUUGCAUAAUGAACCUACGAGUUACCUUCCCCGGCAAGGUUAAGUACCUAAGGUACGGAGCCGAAGCGAAAGCGAGUCUGAAGAGGGCGGCCAGUCGGGGGGGGUAGACGCGAAACCGAGUGAUCUACCCUUGGCCAGGUUGAAGGUUGGGUAACACCAACUGGAGGACCGGAUGGGUAAGCGUUGAAAAGCUUUCCAAUGAGCUGAGGGUAGGGGUGAAAGGCUAAUCAAACUCGGAGAUAGCUCGUACUCCCCGAAAUGCAUUUAGGUGCAGCCUCUUUAUAGUAUAUCGUGAGGUAGAGCGACUGAUUGGAUGCGAGGGCUUCACCGCCUAUCAAGUCCAGAUAAACUCCGAAUGCGCGAUAUAUAUUUAAAGGGAGUGAGGGCGCGGGUGCUAAGGUCCGUGUCCGAGAGGAGAAGAAUCCAGACCACCGGCUAAGGCCCCCAAAUGAUCGUUGAGUUGAACUAACGAGGUCGGAUCGCAGAGACAGCUAGGAUGUUGGCUUGGAAGCAGCCAUUCAUUUAAAGAGUGCGUAACAGCUCACUAGUCGAGCGAUCUGGCGUGGAUAAUAAUCGGGCAUAAACGAUCUGCCGAAGCCGUGGAUGUCGUAAGACAUGGUAGGGGAGCAUUCCAUGCGGCGUCGAAGAUGAGGGAUGACCCUUGUUGGAGCGCAUGGAAAAGCAAAUGUAGGUAUGAGUAACGAUAAGGGGGGCGAGAAACCCCCCCGCCGAAAGACCAAGGUUUCCUGAUCAACGCUAAUCGGAUCAGGGUGAGUCGGGACCUAAGGCCAAGCCGAACGGCGACGCCGAUGGAAGAAUGGGUUAAUAUUCCCAUACUGCCUCAUGGAGUGACGUGGAGACGGAGAAGUGACAGUCCUGCCGGCUGACGGAAUAGCCGGUUGAAGGGUGUAGAUAUUGAUUCCCGUAGGCAAAUCCGCGGGGAGAGUCGAACCUGACAGUAUACCGAGUACUUGUACGAGGUAAUAUGGACGUAACCAUGCUCCCAAGAAAAUCCGCUAAACUUAUCCAUGCGGCACCCGUACCGUAAACGGACACACGUGGUCGGGUUGAGAAUACUGAGGCGCUCGAGUGACUCACGGUUAAGGAACUAGGCAAAUUGACCCUGUAACUUCGGGAUAAAGGGUCCUCGUCGUAAGGCGAGGCGCAGAGAAUAGGUCCAGGCAACUGUUUAACAAAAACACAUGGCUGUGCUAAAUGGAAACAUGACGUAUACAGCCUGACACCUGCCCGGUGCUGGAAGGUUAAGAGGAGAUGUCAUCGCAAGAGAAGCGUUGAAUUGAAGCCCCAGUAAACGGCGGCCGUAACUAUAACGGUCCUAAGGUAGCGAAAUUCCUUGUCGGGUAAGUUCCGACCUGCACGAAUGGUGUAAUGAUCUGGACACUGUCUCAACCGUGAGCUCGGUGAAAUUGUAGUAUCGGUGAAGAUGCCGAUUACCCGCGAUGGGACGAAAAGACCCCGUGAACCUUUACUAUAGCUUUACAUUGAAUUUGGGCAGACGAUGUGUAGGAUAGGCCGGAGGCUUUGAAGGGGGUACGCCAGUAUCCUUGGAGCCGCCGUUGAAAUACGGCCCUUCGGUUGUUUGAGUUCUAACUCCCGGAUGGGAGGACACUGUAUGGUGGGUAGUUUGACUGGGGUGGUCGCCUCCAAAAGCGUAACGGAGGCUUCUAAAGGUGCCCUCAGACCGAUUGGUAACCGGUCGCAGAGUGUAAUGGCAUAAGGGCGCUUGACUGGGAGAGAUACAACUCGAUCAGGUAGGAAACUAGAGCAUAGUGAUCCGGUGGUUCCGCAUGGAAGGGCCAUCGCUCAAAGGAUAAAAGGUACUCCGGGGAUAACAGGCUGAUCAUUCCCAAGAGCUCAUAUCGACGGAAUGGUUUGGCACCUCGAUGUCGGCUCGUCACAUCCUGGGGCUGGAGAAGGUCCCAAGGGUUGGGCUGUUCGCCCAUUAAAGUGGCACGCGAGCUGGGUUCAGAACGUCGUGAGACAGUUCGGUCUCUAUCUAUCGUGGGCGCAGGAGAUUUGAGGGGCUCUGACACUAGUACGAGAGGACCGUGUUGGACGUACCACUGGUUUACCGGUUGUCCCGCCAGGGGCACCGCCGGGUAUCUAAGUACGGAUCGGAUAAGUGCUGAAAGCAUCUAAGUACGAAGCCGGCCUCAAGAUUAGAUCUCCCUCAAGGGUGGUUAUAGACGAUGACCUUGAUAGGCCACAGGUGUAAGGGCGGCGACGUCCGAGCCGAGUGGUACUAAUAGCCCGGGACUUUCCUCA